rnacentral:lncRNA from 1 species
AUACUUCCUUGGGUCUAUGAUUGUUUUUCUCUAAGUUACUCGACCAAACACGGCUCAAGUGCUUUUCCAAUUGAACAUCCAAGCUUUUCAGAUCAAUUUUGUCAGCCCUGAAAAUCAUAUCUUUGCUACUUAUGCUUCCAGGACUCUUUGACUCAAGUGCUUUUCCAAUUGAACAUCCAAGCUUUUCAGAUCAAUUUUGUCAGCCCUGAAAAUCAUAUCUUUGCUACUUAGGUUUCCAGGACUCUUUGCUUCCAUAUUGUUGUCACUAAGGGUACCUAUCCCUUUCAAUUUCGACACGACUUCCCCUUCUUCUCCUUCAUCAUUAUCCAACUUAAGGACCUUCUCUUCACCUUCCUCACUUUUCAAAUCCAUCUUUAAAUUAUUGGAUUAAUACAAACAAAGCUUCACGAAAUUUCUGAUCUGGAAAAAUGAUUAAUAUCAGAUAAUAGAUCCACAAAAGAGCUUCAAAUAGCUGUAAUAAAAAUAAGAGUAUCUCUAAUGAGCAUGCAAAAUAUGCUUCCAAAGGCCAAAAGACAUAUCUAAAAGGAAAGGAAAGGAAGGAAACAAUUAGAGAAACCAAACAAAAAACAACUUGCCAGCCCCAAUUCCAAAGUCUUUUCAAACUCUAAUUCCCUUCCAAAUUUGACCAAAUAAUCAAUCAAAAUUAUUGUUAAAUGGAAAGUAUGAACAAUUCAAAGCAAAUAAAAAAAAAAGAAAACUGACUUUUAAGCUCUUCAAAGACCCAACCUUUUGUUCAUCACCAACCAUGCAUUGAUUUUCACAAAUAAGGACCAUUUAAGUUAAAAGAAAACAAAAAAGUAAACCCUAAGAAAACGACCUCCCAGAAAAUAAAAUAAAAAAUAAAAAGUCAAGAACUACUUUUUUUGAGGGACAAAGAAGAAUACCCACAAUCAGAAAUCAAAAACCCAUAUGCAGAAAUAGAUAAUUUAGCCAUAAACAAAGACAGACGCAAAGUUUGACCAACCCCUUUUUUUCUCUGCUCUGAAUUUUCUUUUCUUUUUAUCUAUAAAGAAAAGGUCAAAGAAUUUCCUCAAAAAACUGAGAAAAGAUAGUAGUAGAAUUUUGUGGUGAUUGAGGGAGGAAUUGCGAGAAGAGAGUAUAAGAAAGAAAAGAGAAAUAGAAGAAAGAGAGAAAAGGAUGCCUAUAAAAAAGGUUCCAUCUUUUACCAUUAACAAUGUUUAUGCGACAACUUCAAGAUACGAGAAUAAUUGU